rnacentral:rRNA from 1 species
UACGGGGGGAGCAAGCGUUGUUCGGAUUUACUGGGCGUAAAGGGCGCGUAGGCGGCGCGACAAGUCACUUGUGAAAUCUCUGGGCUCAACCCAGAACGGUCAAGUGAUACUGUCGUGCUAGAGUGCGGAAGGGGCAACUGGAAUUCUUGGUGUAGCGGUGAAAUGCGUAGAUAUCAAGAGGAACACCUGCGGCGAAGGCGGGUUGCUGGGCCGACACUGACGCUGAGGAGCGAAAGCGUGGGGAGCGAACAGG